rnacentral:rRNA from 1 species
GACGAACGCUGGCGGCGUGCCUAAUACAUGCAAGUCGAGCGAAUCAAUAGGAGCUUGCUCCUGUUGGUUAGCGGCGGACGGGUGAGUAACACAUGGGCAACCUGCCUGUAAGACUGGGAUAACUUCGGGAAACCGGAGCUAAUACCGGAUAAUCCUUUUCCACUCAUGUGGAAAAGCUGAAAGUCGGUUUCGGCUGACACUUACAGAUGGGCCCGCGGUGCAUUAGCUAGUUGGUGAGGUAACGGCUCACCAAGGCGACGAUGCGUAGCCGACCUGAGAGGGUGAUCGGCCACACUGGGACUGAGACACGGCCCAGACUCCUACGGGAGGCAGCAGUAGGGAAUCUUCCGCAAUGGACGAAAGUCUGACGGAGCAACGCCGCGUGAGCGAUGAAGGCCUUCGGGUCGUAAAGCUCUGUUGUUAGGGAAGAACAAGUAUCGGAGUAACUGCCGGUACCUUGACGGUACCUAACCAGAAAGCCACGGCUAACUACGUGCCAGCAGCCGCCGCCGUAA